rnacentral:rRNA from 1 species
AUUGAACGCUGGCGGCAUGGCUAAAACAUGCAAGUCGAACGCGAAAGUAACUUCGGUUACGAGUAGAGUGGCGAAAGGGCGAGUAAUGCGUUUCUAACGUGCCCCGAAGUGAGGGAUAGCUCAGAGAAAUCUGGGGUAAUACCUCAUAACCUCUUUAAGUCGUAUGGCUUUUAGAGCAAAGGUUUACUGCUUCGGGAUCGGGAAACGUGCUAUCAGGUAGUUGGUGAGGUAAAGGCUCACCAAGCCAGAGACGGCUAGCGGGUGUGAGAGCACGACCCGCCGCAUCGGGACUGAGACACUGCCCGGACUCCUACGGAGGCUGCAGUAACGAUAUUCCGCAAUGCGCGAAAGCGUGACGGAGCAAUGCCGCGUGCAGGAUGAAU